UGGGGAAUCUUGGACAAUGGGGGCAACCCUGAUCCAGCCAUGCCGCGUGAGUGAAGAAGGUCUUAGGAUCGUAAAGCUCUUUCGCCGGGGAAGAUAAUGACUGUACCCGGUAAAGAAACCCCGGCUAACUCCGUGCCAGCAGCCGCGGUAAUACGGAGGGGGUUAGCGUUGUUCGGAAUUACUGGGCGUAAAGGGCACGUAGGCGGGUCUGCAAGUUGGGGGUGAAAUCCCGGGGCUCAACCCCGGAAUGGCCUUCAAAACUGCGGGU
rnacentral:rRNA from 1 species